rnacentral:rRNA from 1 species
UGCAGUCGACGCCCCUUCGGGGGAGUGGCAGACGGGUGAGUAACGCGUGGGAAUCUACCCAGCUCUACGGAAUAACUGAGGGAAACUUCAGCUAAUACCGUAUACGUCCUUCGGGAGAAAGAUUUAUCGGAGUUGGAUGAGCCCGCGUUGGAUUAGCUAGUUGGUGGGGUAAUGGCCUACCAAGGCGACGAUCCAUAGCUGGUCUGAGAGGAUGAUCAGCCACACUGGGACUGAGACACGGCCCAGACUCCUACGGGAGGCAGCAGUGGGGAAUAUUGGACAAUGGGCGCAAGCCUGAUCCAGCCAUGCCGCGUGAGUGAUGAAGGCCCUAGGGUUGUAAAGCUCUUUCAACGGUGAAGAUAAUGACGGUAACCGUAGAAGAAGCCCCGGCUAACUUCGUGCCAGCAGCCGCGGUAAUACGAAGGGGGCUAGCGUUGUUCGGAAUUACUGGGCGUAAAGCGCGCGUAGGCGGAUUGAUCAGUCAGGGGUGAAAUCCCGGGGCUCAACCCCGGAACUGCCUUUGAUACUGUCAAUCUAGAGGUCGAGAGAGGUGAGUGGAAUUCCGAGUGUAGAGGUGAAAUUCGUAGAUAUUCGGAGGAACACCAGUGGCGAAGGCGGCUCACUGGCUCGAUACUGACGCUGAGGUGCGAAAGCGUGGGGAGCAAACAGG